UAUGGUUCUCCUGUUGGUCCUCUAUUGUGUGAUGGAAGCAGAAACUACCACCACCACUUCUUCCACCACUACCACUUCUACCAAUUCUACCAAUAUUACGAUCCCCGUACAACGUUGUCGCUGUCGUCACCGAUGGCGUUGGUGGCGUUUGCGAUGGCGAUGGUGUCGCUGCUAUCGCUUUCUCAGAAUGGACAAAUUAUCCGACACAGAGCUCGAAUCAGCUGAAUAGAAUUCCCUAUCUUCCAGAGAAAUGCUUUCCUGGUUUCUCAAAGAUUAAAAAAUAAAAAUGUUGGCUUUU